rnacentral:rRNA from 1 species
GUAGGGAAUCUUCCACAAUGGACGCAAGUCUGAUGGAGCAACGCCGCGUGAGUGAAGAAGGUCUUCGGAAUCGUAAAACUCUGUUGUUAGAGAAGAACACGAGUGAGAGUAACUGUUCAUUCGAUGACGGUAUCUAACCAGCAAGUCACGGCUAACUACGUGCCA